CCCUGGGCUCAGUGCUUGACUUGAGCCCCGGCAGCUCUGGGCUCGCUGCGUCAGUUCGGAAAGUAAAAAUAAUUGCUUGAGCCCUAGCCUCUCUUUCGUUGCAAAUUAAGCCCGGGCUAGACUGCUCUGUGUUGCUUGCAUAUGUCUUUGGACAGCUGUGUAAACAGGCAUGGGUGCGUAUGCACAGUGAUCACCCCUUUGGGGUAGUGCUGUGAGCCCCAAAAGUCAGCCGCAGUCUGCCCCCCGCUCCGGCCAGGACUAAUCAGGUGUUUGGACUUUCUUUGAGCAACCUGCACAAUUGGACAGCAGUCACUCAUCAUCGGCUGGGUCUGAGAAAGCAUGCAUCAUCCCACCAGGCAAGUGUCUACUACAACAGGGGCUUGAUCCUUCACCACUGAAAUAGACAAGAACUUUGCUAUUGACUGCAGUGAGCACAGGAUCUGACAUAGGAGCAGGAAGAGUCUCCCUAUCAGAGUAAUUGUCUUGGUUGUGCACCGAUUCCCAGCGGACAGACUUCCAUGGACUUCAGGCGCCAGGGAUCAGGCCCCAGACUGUCAGAGUAAAUCUGAACAUCCCAUUGAGAAACGAACCCUGCGCAAUCUGAGAGGAAGGUCCACGGACGACUCUGAAUCCACAUAGUGGCAAGAAUGGGGUUGCAUCUGUAAGGUGCCAGAUACCUUUAUACAAUACCAGGUAUAGCUAUAUAAAAGGCAAUUAAUAACCCUUUCUUUAUUAAUAAAAGGUAAUUAAUAAUUAAUAACAAGAAAAUGA